UCGGUGCGGCUGACCAUGAGAGGGGCAGAGAACUGAGUGCAGCUGGCACCGCAAUGGGCACGGGCCUCCUUCCAUCACCACAACACAUGGCCCGAUACACACCGCUGUAGCCCAGUACAGCCCCCGACACACAGCCCUACACCUACAGACACACCUGGGGAGAAACAUAUGCAUGCAUGCAGAGCGGGCACAGAACUGACCCCAGUGUGUACCAUACCUGCACACACGCUGAUACUCACACCUCCCUCCCACAACACCCCCUCCCCCCUGGGCUGGGUGGGAGAGACAGCCUGCCAUGUGUUAGCCCCAUGGACAGAGGCCUGGGCCUCCCCCGCAAGAGUUGUCCCUUCCUGGUCGCCCGGAAGCCCCACAGCUGGGGCUGUGACAUGCCAAGGUGUGAGAAAUGACGCCGGGGUUUCUAAUUUGCUGUUGUUCCUUCCAGGCUGCUGCUGAGCUCCCCGCUUGCCACCCCGCCAGCCAGGCAAACGCAACUGAUCAGAGGCUCCAUUAACCAAUUACCAGGGUCCCCCAGGCGGUGGCAGUACCUGCUUUGCAGCAGUACAGCACAGGAGCACGAGCCCCGGCCCAAAGCGGCAUCAGAGCCACAGUGUGGAUUGAAGCACCCUGCCAGCACCAGGCUGAGCUCAGAACAGCUUGGAGAGGCUCAUACAACACAUGCUGGAAGUACAGGGAGGAAGCCAGGUUGAAGCAGCACUGAAAACGUUUCUCUUCAGGCCUGACAAAGGGACACUGGGCACAGCUGGGAACUGACCCAAGAUCUUCAACAUCCCCAGCCAGCACCAAGACCACGCAUCAGCCUCCUGGCCUGGCACCAGGAGCACCAGGCUUCCACUGCAGCAAAUGCCCCUGCACAGCUCCUGGCUUAACGUCCCACCAGGCCUGUUCUUCCAGCCUGACUCUGCAGAGCCAAGGGCCCAGCAUCUCCAGCCUGGACCAGAUGCCGGAACGAUAGGUGACAGAAGAACCCCAAGAAAAGACUUGGAGGACGGGACGCUCAGGGCUGAAGCGAGUGAAACUACCUGAUUCUGAAAAGGGACAACCAGCUGGGGGCUGCGUAAGAGCAGAAGAAAUGGCACCAGUGGGACCAGCUAGGGAGGAGACACUCCACCGUGGGGAGCAUGACAUGAAAAGGGGAUCGCAUUGCUCCAGGCUGGAUAAGCACUGUCUGGACGGACUGUGGGGUGAGAGACCUUGUAGGCCAGGCGAGGACCUUGCUCGUGAAUAGAAGCUGUAAUUGCCUGUGAUGUUCUUCUCCCACCUGUCACCUUCUGUGUCCAAACCCUUCCAUUGGCUUUGGGAUCUUUAAUCCGAGCAUUGGUACAUUUUACUAUAACCACAGCUUAGCGACUUGUACAAUGGACAGGGUUGGAGUGAGGUGGAGGCAACGGAUCGGUGUACAGAGCGGGCAGUGGGCAGUCAAGCGUGACAAGAUGGGGUGCCUGUUGCUAGCCUGCAGAGGGAAAGGGGGGCUGCCCAUAGCCCAGUGUGGAGGGCUCAUGUUGGCAGCAGCAGGUAGCUUUGGGAGUCGCCCCUGGCGAGCACAGACAAGACUCCCUCGUACCAUCAGCGGGUGCUAGUGACUCACCUCAGGUCACCCUGAAAAGUGUCGCACCCCUUCCCCCACUCACCCUGUAAGGCACAGAAAGCCUCACCAGGCAAUAGACGUUAGGAGCCCAAGUCGCUUGGAGGCACUGGCCCCGCGU